rnacentral:rRNA from 1 species
AUGGACCGUCGAAGCCCCCCCGUCGUCUCCGUCCACCUCACGGGCUACGACGGCAUGGACCCUGGCGCCGCCGGCCGUGUGGUCUCGCCGGCUUUCAACAUCACGCUCCGUCUGAACGACACCUGCGUCGACCGCGCGGACGUGGCCGUGAUGUACUCCGGCGUCGCGCUCGGCUGGGCGCGGGUGGACCCGCGGGACUGCGUCAAGAGGCGGUGGGCCAAGGACGUGGAGGUGGUGGCCCGGGGAGCCGGGGUGGGGCUGUCGCAGCGCCUCCGCGACCGCAUGGCGUCAGACUGGCGCUCAGGCGCGGUGGAGCUCGACGUCGACGUCACGACGUACAAAGAAGACCCGCCCUCUACUGACACUGAAUUCCCCCAAGACAUGAUCGUGAAGAAGGUAAGGAUUUUUAACGAGAAAGAAGAACAAGCUACAACCGAUGCAUCCUCGCAAAUGUUCUGGUCCGCGUGA